GACAAAUAAUUUCUCCAGAACACCAGAAUGACAAGGAAACAGAAAACAGAGUGUGUAUUGCAUGGAAAAAAUACUGGUCAUGGAAAGAGUAAACUGUUCAACUCUUGCAUCCUCCCUAGCAUGACAUAUGGUUGCCAAACGUGGGCCUUAACACAAAAAAAUAGGAAAUCCCUAGAAGUAUGUCAACACAACAUAGAGAGAAGUAUUCUCAACAUCAAAAAGAAAGACAAAAUAAGACUAAGCACCAUAAGAAAAAACACAAAAUUAAGGGAUGUAUUCUAUGUAACAGAUAGCCUAAAAUGGAAAUGGACCGGACACAUGCUCUGGGAGCCAGGACAAAAAUGGUCAAAAAUUGUUACAACCUGGUACCCCAAAGACGGGAAAAGGAAAAGAGGCAGACCUUACCGCAGAUGGGAAGACGACAUUAGAGCUAUCGCUGGACCAACAUGGACA